rnacentral:lncRNA from 1 species
AACCAUUGAGCCAUCUGUCCAGCCUCCACAGGCUGGAAUUCCAGGCUGUGGUUACCAGGAGGACUGGAUGAAAGGGUCCGGGGCACACGGAGCCUGAUGUCCGCCCAGGGGAAGUUUAUCACUGGACCCUCAGCGAGCAGGUGCAGCGCCGGCAGCCCUCCAUUAUUACCAGCGGGGCUCUUUAGCCUCCUUUCCUUUUUAAUUUUUUCCUUAGAGAACUCAACCUCUGGAUACUUUCUUUCUAUUACAGCUUCUGGCCACCCACACUGUUUCUUUUGCCACCUUGAACUUGGCUCUGACCGGGAAGUGCCUUCCAGAUUUGCCAAUCAUGUAAACGUCGAGUUCAGCAUGCCCACGACGUCUGCCUCCAAAGCAGCUGUGAGAUCCAUCUCUGUGGAAGACAAGCCCGAUGUCAGGAAGUGGGUCAAUUAUUCCGCACACUACAGCUACAAGGUAGCCUCAGGAGGGCUUCGGGCCCAUGUUUCCACAUCCGUUUGUUAGCCCCACAGCUUCCCCUCGUGCCUUCCAGCAAAUGCUUCUUAUAUCAAGGCACUUCACAUUCAUAGCUGUGGAUGAAUCUGCUUAAUGAAAUGAUCUCUCGUGGGUAAGAAGAGAGGCUAGGCCAAAAAAAAAAAAA